UUACAACUGUUUUCUUCUUUUCCAAAAAAGUCAGACCCCACACCUCAACAAGCCGACAAUCUUCCAAAAUUUCACUCCUCUUCUCGAAAUUUAGCAGUUGAACAUGUAAACAUCAUCUUCAAAUUCCAUUCGUUGGCAAAUAACGUCUGCUGAAGCAACGGAGCCAAGUCCGUAUCAGAGUUUUGUAAACCCAGAUUACACUCGGAUAAUCCCACUGGAACACAAGUAAUCUAAUUUUCUCCAAAUGGAACAAGAAAUAAUUUGAAGAGAAACAAAAUGUGAUUCCAAUAACUACUGUCUGCCCAACUCUCUCUACAAAGUCAUCAUGAUCUUUAAGAUUUUCUGCAAACUUGAGAUUGUGCAUGAACCAAAAAAUGGUGGCAAAAUUUUUGAAACGACUAAAAUAUGAUUUUGAAUUUUUUAACAAAAUAUUUUUUCCUUCUUCUUCUUCUUUUUGCUUUUUAACAUAUAGAAAAUGGUAGUUAGCCAAACAUGCAGAUCAAUUCAGGAAAUAGGAUAAAAGAAGUGUGUUAACUCGAUAAAGGCGGCGCCGGGUAAGAAAUUUAAAUUUACAGAGUGAUGAGUUGUUUAGAGAAUCUGACAAACUUUUUAAUCAUUAUCAAGGAGAAAAUUAGAUUGCCAUCUUUGAAUAUAUAAAAUAUACUUGGCUUUUUAAAUUGAUGUGCCAACCAAUUUGAUAUUAUAUCAUGGCACAAUAAUACCCGAUUCAUCAACCUAUCAUAUUCUUCACCAGGAGCCCCACCAUUCCCUAAAGUUUCCCCUUUUAAAAAAAAAAAACUAAUAAUGUCACAAUUAAUCUAUCUCCACGCAUCCCCCUGCUUUCUUCCAGUCAAAACCAAUAUCAUUCAUGCCUACAUGAUCGCUGAGCACUCGCAAAAACAUCUAUGUACAGACUGCUGGAUGAUGAUUGACAGGACAGGAAGGGUUUAAGUACCUAACAAUGUUUUCCCUUACACUUUUAACUCCACCAACAAGAUGUGCUGGAUAAACUUCUUAGUUUCUUUGGCCUAAAUCUAUAAUUGAUGUUCUACUGUUGUUAUUAUUCUUUCUAUUCUCAUUAUUAUCAGGGAUGUUUAUAUUAUUAUUAUUAUGUUGAAAAAUAUAAAGAAAGAAAAUAGGGAAAGGAAAUAGCUGUGGGCUAAAAAAACCUUCAGCCCCUUAGGGAACCAAUGCAGACCGAAUGACCCAAACCACGCCUAAACCCUGUUUGGAUCGUCUAUCGCUUAAGAAGCAAGUAGCAGAGCCCAGCCAAGAGCCCUCAAACAUUUCCAAAUGACGUCGUUUUCUGUUUUUCCCUGAACCCCUUAUCGGUGGAAGGCUGCAUCUUUGGAAAGCAGAACAAAGAUGAAUCGAAGGAAACCUUGGUAAUCGAAGAAAAGAAAGAUGGUGAAUGAAGAAACGGUGUGGGGUCGACGUUCUGGUGUAUUUAAUGAACCAAGUACGAGCAGCAGAGCGAGUAAAGCAUCAGGAAGAUGCUAGAUCCGAGCGUGCCUUUCUGGAGUUGAACUAUGGGCAAGGAAGAAUCAAGUGGAGAAGAGAAAGGGUGCUGUGACGAGAGGCACUGAAGGGAGAUGAGCUGCCAACUCUUGCGGCCGGCUAGAGGAGCAAAAUCUGUAGCAACCCUUACAAAGCAAACCAAAGAGAAAAGCCUUUCCUGGUGCUUUGUUCCUUAACACGCUAUAAAGCACCGAUCUUUUCAUCUUUUCUCUUCCUUCUUUGUCGUGCACCCCAAAUAGUUGAGUUAAAAGAGAGGGAAUUUUCUUGAUUCAUCAUAAGGAUCUUGCUUCGGGAGUAGAAGUGGUGCGUGGCAAAACUCAUGAUGGCGUUCAGCUCUGGCCACUUGUGAAGCCACUAGCAAAUAAGACCAUUAAAUCUUCACAAGCACCCCGGCACGCUCCUCUCAGCCUUCUCUCUGAUUUUGUUCUCUGUAGCUUAGUUUCUGAUAAUGUAGUGCUUUUAGUUUCUCUGUUAAAUACAGCAGCCAUGAGAACAAAAAUCAUAAACUACCAGCGCUAUCUCAACUAUAUCCUCAUCUAUCACUUUGCAGUUCAUAUUUUCUAGUGUUUGGGGACCUUCACCAGUCUCUUCCAUUAACAAUUUUCAUUAUGAUGUCAUUUUUCUUGAUCAGUUCCCUCGGUACGGUUGGUCCUUUCCUCUCAAACACAAGUAAGAUGUUUCUUCUAUCCUCACUGUGUUAGGUCUCUGGCUCCAAGACUACCUUGUUAGUAUGCCUCUACAGAGAUGGUGGUGGUGAUUUUUCGAGCUCUGGGACUAUGUCUCCUUAUCCUUCACAUGCUUCACAACAUAUCAACAUCUCUGAGAGGAAACAAUAACAUAUCAAGAAAAGGUGAGAUGGGGGCCCUUAUUUGCCAUUAUGAUGGGCUCCCAAUUGUGCUCCGCAAGUUCUCUUUGUAUAAGAUGCUCAAGUCCUCCUACGCACAUAACAAAGAUGUAGGGAGAGAGUAAACUUUUACGUGGUAUAGCCACCAGUAAGGACUUGCAUUAAGGGGGUCUUGAUGAGUUAUGUGGUGUAAUGGGUCCCAUCUAGGGGGAAAACCAGCCUCAAUUAUGGUAUCCUCGAUCGAAUCCCAGUUAAGAUGGUGAUAUGCUUUCUCAAGAUUAACUUUUAUAGACAUGCACCAUUUUCAUCAUUUUUCGCCCCUCAUUUAGUGAAUUGCUUCUUGGGCAGUGAUGAUAUUACCAAUAAUGUGAUUCCUAGGGACAAAGCUAGCUUGAUUGGAUUAAACCAGUUUCCCAAUCACUCCUUUGAAACGGUGGGCAAGCACUUUAGCUUGACUGGAGGUCAUCCGAGCCGGGGGCUUUCAAUGCUCAUCCUUGAUGGGUUUGUCCAAAUUCACAUCUCAAUCUCAAUGAGCUUAGGACUAAUCAAAUCUCUGGUCUUUACGUUGAGCAGCAUUUAUGGCUCGAUCGCAGCCAUGAGAAAGCUUGAGAGAGAGCUUUUUGUGUUUAAUGAGUCACUUAAAUGUUGCAAGUAAGUCCUUUUAAGUGGACUUGAGACUUCAAAUAUGAAAAUGCCAACAUUGUUUCUUGAGUAAUAUAAAUAUUCAUCAAUAAGAAAGUAACAAAGAAA